AUAGGCAGUGUGGGAUGCUGGACUUUUAAGGAUGCUUGGCGUCCAGUGGGACGGAGCAGGUCAGCUUGAGAUGCCUUUGCACUGCUUGUGAGUUCUUUUUUUUGGUAUUCUCCUCUUAGGAUUUUGGACUGUGGAUGACUCCAGUUAACCAGAACAGUGGGAAAUGAAACUAUGAGUAAGGAACAUGGUACCUCCAGGAUUCUUUUCUGCUGGUGUGACAAAAUACCAUAAGCAAGCAGAAUGACUGUACCUAUGGCCAUAACGAUGGAUGUUGUCACCGUUUUCCAAGAAUGUCUCAGCAACCACUCCAGCACACACUCCCUGGGCAUCUGUAGCUGACUGAAUGUGGAGUAUCUUGACCAUGAGCCAGGCAGAGAAGCCCCGAAGGAGACUUCGCCAUUCCACAUUCCUCAAGGGACACUGAGAGACCUCCGGGGGCAGAGUGUGUCCAGUCUUCCACCAAGCGCUUGCAGAACACGAGAACGUUCCAGCUCUGGCCAUGGUGCAUUCUGGAAGAGCUUGCUUGGGCUUCUGUUGUCUUCGAGCUCCUGGGAUUCUCAGGUUGGAUUCAUAGCUGCUCCUUCCCACUGAGUAAGCACCGAGGUGACCCCAGCACAGACAUUCACCACGCCUAGGACUACUCUGUUCACUCCACUUCCCUUCGGCUUGGAUUUCUUCACGCACUGCUUAACGUCUGUAAGAAGCAAGGACAUCCUGAUUAAGUUCCUGAUUAGUGCUUUUUGACAGUGGGGCCAAAGUUAACCCACCACACAGUCCAAUCACCACUUCCAUUUAAUUGCAAACAAUUCCCUUGUUCUAAAAGAAAACUUCCCAGUCUUUAAGUCUUUAAGUGCCUGUGGUUUAAAAAUGGCUGGCCCUUUCCAAAACUGAUUAGCAUUAUGAUGGUGUUGGGAGCCAGGCAGAGGAGGUGAAGAGGUCACUAGGAGAGAUGAGACCUUUCCUGUGGGCGUAAGUUUGCUCUUACCACAGUUGAUCAUAAAGCAAGCCUGAUUCCAUGUGUCUUGUCUCUCCCACAUGUGCCCACUCAGCCUUCUGUCAGAAGCUCCUCACCAGACAUGACUACCUGAUAGAAGCUUCCAGAACCAUGAGUAAUUAAACUUUCCCUUGUGAAUGAGCUCAUCUUCAGUGCCAUGUUAUAACAACAGGAAAGAGAGUCGUUCCCCACUGCUACUCUCUGGGUCCUGGCAGCCCACACUCUUCUGUCUUUCUCUACAGAUUUGCCUAAUCUGGAUAUUUUAAGGAGUCGUAUGCUAUGUGACUUAUUGUGUCUGGCUUCUUGCACCCCGAAUAGUAUUUUGAGUUUCCCCCAUCCCGUAGCAUUCUGUUUGGGAGUUUGAUGGAUUGACUGGCAUAGAGUUUGGACCAGCAGAAGCUGGAACACUAAGGUUCCCCUGACAUGUGCAGACAGAAAUGUCCCAGGUCUCUGGCGAGUACACAAUGGCAAACCCCCGCCCAGAAAGCCAACAUACUGUGGAACCAACACUACAUUCCAGCAGCCCUGGGACCUGGGCACCGGCUGCUUCUCUCCAGUGAUACUCUCCCAGAAUAGACAGGGGUGUCAGUCAACAUGAAAAUAACCCUGGCAGAGAGCCCCAUGCCAGACAGAUACCACAAACACAAGUGCCAAGGUACAUGGAGGCAGGGAGGGGGCUCUAAAUUAAAUCCUGGGCUUGAGUUCUAUUGACCUGGGUCUGGCUGACCUGUCAAUUCUGCCUCUUUGAAUGCACAACCCUGGCUUGGCAGGUGAUGGGUGAGAAGGGCCUUGGGGAGGGCGAAGUAGAGAAGCUGCCAAAAAAAAAAAAAAAAAGGAGGCGUGACUGCCCACACCUGGGUACUGAGUCCAGGCUGAAAGGGAAGAAACAGAGAAGCAAAAGGGUGGAUUUCAGCUUCUUUAAGGGAACUCAGAAGCGUGGCUUGACUGCCUCAAGGAGAGAACCCCAGCAACACCAUGUGUUCAUUGGUUAUUGACAACAGAGGCAAUCGGAGCCAUGAGAGAGUGUCAAGCUACAUGAACAUCACUAUCAAACCUCCACCAGCCCAACCUUGCUUUCUUCUCUUCAGAAAAGUGUGACAAUUCCUUAACAUUGCAUCGCUAUCCCCGGGGUGCUUUAGGCUUGGGGUCAGGAUGAUGCUGGUCCCAGCUGUGUGCUUUCCAUAAAGCUGUGUAACUCUCCUCUCUGACUCCCGUUAUUCUCCCUUUAGAAUGGGAGCAGCGACCCCAGUUAACUCUGGGAGCUGCUGCAUGGAUUGAAGCGCAUACAAGAUACCAGCACUUACAGAGGCUCUGUGAAGCUUGUCCCCUUUGGUGGCUUGGGGCUGGCUCAGCUGGUAUGGUGUUUGCUGCACAAGCAUGGGGACCCGAGUUCAAUCCCCGGAACCCACGUUAUAAUCCAUCAAUCAAUAAAUAAAUCUGUGUGUUGUGAUGCAUGAUGGGUAAUUUCAGUACCAAGGAACAAAAGCGGGUCUGGCACUUGCUGACCUGGUAACCUAGCCCAGUUGGUAAGGUCCAGGCCAGCAAGAGACUGUCUCAGGAAAAGCAAACAAUAACAAUAGCAAAACCCAAGGUGAAUGGCUCCAAGGAACAGUAUCCAAGGCUGACCUCCUUCCUGGGCAGGCACACACACCACACACACUUGCCCUUGUCUUUCUUCCUUCCUCCUAUAAACAUGACCAAAGAAACAGACCUUUAUCUGAACUAACCCGGUAGUCCCAUCAGUGACAGAGUAGCAGCCCUGAGGAUACAACAUAACCGGAAAGCAAAGGGAUAGUACAGGUCAAUGCCUUGUGUGUGAGAGAACUUCAUAACGUCAUCUGAACAGCAUCUUCUGCCAUCUCUGAAAAGCCUCAUCUCUAACUAUGAUUGGUAAAUGGUGUUCCAUCCGGAACCUUCUAGCUUGGCACCGAUGUGCUACGACAAAAUGAUGUACCUGCAAGUCUUGGCCUCCCUCUGCCAACCUACUGUGAGGACUGUCCAUACACUACCAUUUGAGUACCACACUGUAGUUAGUGUAUGGUGGAUGCUUGCUCUCUCACAGCCUGUGCUAAGAUUUUUGCACUGAAAUUCUCAUUUUCCAUAACUGGAGAAAUAGUUUAUAUGAGUAUCCUAACAGACGAGAGACGCUAAACUCAGAGAGAGGAGAGAACACAUUUGCCCAAGGUUUCAAGAGAGCAAGAGUAGGGCUUUUGCCCAUGCAGUGGGGCAUCUGAGUCACUAGUCAGAAUCUCAAACCCUUUGCAAAUCAGACAUGAAAUGAUCAGUAGCAUUGAUAACCUACAAGGAACUCAGACAAGUCAACGCCAAAAAAAUAAUCAAGCUGACUGGAAAUGGGCAGAGAAGCCAAAUGCGCAUUUCUCUGAGGAAGAUACACAAAUAGCCAACAGACUGCCAGCACCAGUAAUCAUGAGAAUUCAGGUUACAGUCCCAAUGAGGUGACAUUCACAACUGAAACAGUGGCCUACACACACACACACACACACACACACACACACACACACACACACACACACGGCACCAGCAGAGAAGGUACAGAAGAGAAGGACCUUGUCUGGGUUUUUUAAUGGGGAUGCAAAUUAGUACAGCCAUUCUGGAAAAUCAUGGGAUCCCUCCAAAAAAUAAAAUGAGCCUGCCAUGGGAACCAGUCCCACCCUUGUAAUGCACCCAAAAAAAAUAGAAUCAGUAUGGAAAAGAGACCCCCCACACACCAAGUCCAUGUGGCACUCAAGGGAGGAACGCUGAAGCAGAGGCCAUGGAGGAGCACUGCUUAGUUGCUCGCUCUCUCUUCUAUGCUGGUAAACUUGCCCUCCAAUACAAUCCAUGCCACUAGCCUAGGGGUUGCGCCGCCCAUGGUGGUCUGGCCCCUCCCAUUCCAGUCAAUCAUCAAUCAAUUGAAUGCCUCUAGAGUCUUGCUUAUGGGACACUGAUGGAGGCAAUGCCACAACUGACAGGUGACAGAGCUUCUUCCCAGAUGGCCCCAACCUCUCUCAGGAUGACAAAACACUAACUGUCACAGCUGGUAGUCAGUGUGUUCUUUCAGUCCAAGUAUGGACUGCUAAGAUCCAGCCUGCCCUUAUCACCAGGAACUGCCAACGUUCAGAGAUCAAUGCUUUUUGUUUUUAAUUGUUCUAGACUUAAGGAUAUAGAAAAGUGCAUGUGCACCUGUGUGUGUGCGUGUGUGUGUGUGUGUGUGUGUGUGUGUGUGUGUGUGUGUGUGUGUGUUAGAGCUGCAGUUAAUACUAAAUAUGGCCGAAGGAAGAAUACCUUAAGUGCUCUGUAAUAGGUGCAGCUUGAAGAAGACAAUGAUUAACUUUGUUUUCAGAGGCCUUCAGUGAUGGGAUGCCCGCGCCUACGUUGGCUCCUCACAAAAGGGAAGGACUCAUCUAGUUAAAAGAGUGAGAGGAGUUGGGCAGAGUCCUGGCAGAGUUCAGCCAGUUCGAGAAGCGAAUUCAGAGCUAGAAUAUGGGCCCCUCAUGCCCCCUGUGGCUGGCCCUUGCUCCCACCCUCCAGCCAGUUCACCUGAACAGCUUCCAAGUGCUCUCGGCUGUGUCACGUUGCCCCAAGAACCUUGGAAGGGGAACUCAGAAACCAGACAAGGACUUAUUGGAGGGAAUGGAGAAUAUAGAGUUUUUGGAGAUUCCCAGACCUCCACAGGGCUGCAUAGCUUGCUCUGUGAGCCUGCCAGGAUGACCUCGCACAUCUCCAACGUUUCUGUGGCACCGCUCCAUGGAAACUGAGGGUGGAGAAGGUUCUUGGCAAGGAACACCAUGGUCUGGUACAUCUCAUAAUUUCCCUCAGAGGCCUCCUUGGGUGUGCUGUCUGUCACAGACAAAGAUGUCCAUGGGGUCCCCAUCAGCACAGUCUGCCUCUGACUUGUUUUCCCAAAAGUGCGGCUGGAUUUGCUCAGUGCCAUCUGCACAGUCUCACCGGCCACCCCGCCCGCCAUCUGUUUAUAGGCUGUCAGACAGCUGGCUACGGCACGGGGGACACUGUGUGACUAUAGAAUGUACAACAACCACUGGCUCCAACGAGAGGGAGCCCGGGGCUUUUACCUCACUUGCCCUGGGAUCCCAAUGGAACAUCCACCAUGAGCUUGGCCCACAGUGACACCCCCGACUGUGGUGUUACUGCCAUGGUGGGAUCCCACUGCUUCAUCUUGUAGCAGCCCUGCAGGUGGGGUUACUUGUUUUGACAGUUAAAGAAGCUAAGGUUCCAAGAUGUGUUGUCAAUUGGCCAAGGGCCACAGCCAAGUGACAGAGCUGGCAACGGAGCUUCUGUUUCUCAGAUUCCAGAAGCACAGGGUCCCCCAGAAGAAAAGAACCCACUCCCCUCUCACUGGUCUUCAAGGCCCUUCGGGCUCCUAUUCUGAUCUAUCAAUCUGGCCUGGGGUCCUGUCUUCCUUCAGGUCUAUUCCACAUGUGCGGCCCCCGUGUGGCCUCUCCAGCUUCCAGGUCAUGACCUCUGCAUUCUCCCCACCCAGUUCUUGGAGUCCUUUACAGGGACAGGGCUGUCGUCUGACAGAGUCAGCAAAGACACCCUUUUUUUGGCAUCUCAGUGUCCCCUCAGUUUAGUGUCAUUAGAUCCCACGGCUGCCUGAUCUUGUUUCUCUAACACCACCCACUCGUCAUCCAGCCUUAUAGGAAAAGGCGUUUAAGGUUGUUUCUCUGGGUGUUCCCUUCCUUCCGAAGGCCCCUGGGACCACAGUCCACAUUGUUAAGGAGCCUGAUCACUACUCAAGAGUCACAGAUGCCCAGGGAUGCUGCACAGGGUCCCCUCUAACCCUGCUACCCUGUUCCCCACCUUCCACUAUGGAGGAAGACAUUGAGGGUAGGCCCCCUGCUGGGUGCGUAUUUGUGAAUCGGAAACAUCUACUUGUAUGCACUACACACAUCCCUGGGAUCCAGCUGCACUUCUGGUGGCCUUUGCCUGCCUACUUUCUACCGUUUCCUGGCCUGCUCUGUGUCCAGGCCCAUCCCCUCCUCAUGUGGCAGUGCUUCCAUUCCCAUGGUUUCAAGAGGUCAAAGGACAGAAAAAGAAAAGGCCAAGCUAUUUAGUGCCCCUUGCCAGGGCCAGCUCAGUGUCACCUCCCCAUAGUCUUCAGAGAGGCCUGACUUGCUUGAGGCCACAAGUCUUACCUGGUCCUUCUCGAACGCAACCCUUGUUGGACUCCAGUAGCACUGGCCCUUUCCUGGUCUCUGAGGCCUAAGUGUGACAGCCCCCCCUACCACCAUCUCGUGGCGCUUCAGCUACUUUCCUUGGCACCUUGCAGCCCCCUGCCUGUCUGUACCUGACAUGAUUGCUGUGUCUUUCUGCAUUUUUUGAGGGCGCCUCUGGCUUGCUCUGAGAGGCCAUACUGUUCAAGGAUGUCUCCGUCUCUCAGCACUGUCGUCUGCACCCCUUAGUAUUGGUAUCAAGGAUCUGUUCCCAAAGAGUGCGGGAUGGUCUCGAGAGGGUUAUCACCCAACGUUAGAGCAAUGAGAGGCAAAUGCUGCGGUAGUAAGGGCCACAUCUGGCAGGGUUAGAGGCAGUGACAGGCUGACCUACGCACCAGUGAUGCGUAGACCUUGCAAAGGCUGCGGGUCCCUGGUCCCGUGUUAGACUGCAGUUGUUGGCACCUGUGUUAGACUGCAGUUGUUGGCACCUGUGUCCCGUUGUCACACACCCAGAUCGCAUCAGAGCCUUACUACUUCAAACAGCAUCGCACGACAGAUUUCCCCCUUCCUCUUUGUCCUCACAGAGGAAGCUCCCAGGGUGAAAUAGUGGUUUGAUUCCAUGCAGAGGGAGUCAACUGGCCCCAGGACACCCAGGCAGGGAGCAUCCUGUUUGCCCUCUGAGGACCUAAGGAGAACACAGAGAAGGCUUGGCACCGGCUGAGUGCUUCCUGGAACCAUAGCCCUUCUCGCAGGCCUUCUUGGUUUAUUUAAAGUGGCAAUAACAGGGUGUGCCCGCCAUCACCUCCCAUACCCACCUUGACCGUCUUGCUCCCAAAGGGCCUUGGAAUCCGUACAAGAAUGUUCCAUCAAAUACCAGGCGGAGUUGUUAAAGUGUGAUCCAGGACAAAAGCCUGGAAGUCAUUAUUACUCUUUCAACUUUUCCUGGUGACUCUGAGGUGGGAAAUAUCGAAAGAGCACGUACUGUGGAGAGGCAGGCCAACAUCAGGGAAAUGGGAAAGCAUGAGGUGAGCCCUCACCUCAAGGUGCUUGGACUCUCGCUGGGGAGGGGAGAGGAAAGGGCCUCCAUGUCUGCCAAGAGACCUGUUCCUUCAGAAUCUCCUGGAGGAGUUGCAGAAUAGAAGCUCUCUGAGCCCUCCCUAGGACUGGGGUUCAACAAGCCUGGGGCAGGAGCUGAGAUUCCAGAGUAUUCAAAGCCCCUCAGGCAGAUUUUCCCCAGGGCUGUAGCUGUAACAGGUGUUUGCCCCAGCCUAUAACAUGACCACGGGGUAAUGGAAGGUGGCAAACGGGCAAGGCCAAGGGCUGAACUUGGCAUUCUGUGAGGUCCACAUUGCGGCCUUGUACAUCAAAGUCGGUUGGGUGGGAAUCUAACCAGUCCCUGAAAAUCGAGAGCUCUCAUCAAAUCCAGAUUUCCUCCUUUGCUGUGGUUUGAAUGCACCACCACCCCCCAAAACCCAUACAAUGUAAUUUUUUUUUUGUGGUGUAUUAAGAGGGCGGGAACUUAAUCAGAGCACAAAACUUGGGAAUGGGACCUCUGGGAGAUGAUAGAGGUUCAAUGAGGCCACAAGGACAGGACCUACUCUGGAAGAGUGGUGGCUUUGCAAGAGUAAUGGGAGGAAUCUGGCUGGGACAUUCUGUUACCACUUGGUGCUCUGCACUGCCUGGGGACUUUGUUGGGAGUCCCCACCAGCAAAGGGGAUCUUACUGGGUAUAGCUUCCCCAUCCUGGUCCCGGAGCUGCCAGCACUUCAGAACAGUGAGCUCAGUUGGUCUCCCCUCUACAGAUGUCUCCAUCUGGGAUGAGUCACAGCGACAGAAAACACAGACGGAGACAUCUCAUUUCGAAAAUCCCUCCAACUCACAGCAGGGCGGGGUGGCACAUGGAGCGAGCAUUCUCCAGUUGCGUGUAGUCUCCUGCCUCUCCCCCACACCCCCCCCCCCGUGUCUUUCUCUCUUAAUAGUUUCGAUCUUCUGCCACCAGUGGGUUAGCGCUGCCUUGUGCUUGCAGACCUGCAGGGCAAUGAGUCACUUCCUUCUUACAUACAGCAAAGGGCAAAAAGAAAUAGAAGACGGAAGAAGUCUGUGCUGUUUGUAGUAAGAGAACGUGCAGUUUAAUUAAUAAGCGGAUCGGGUUCUUGGAGGAAGCCAGUUGCUUUCACACACUUCCGUGUCCAGCCCUGCUAACCAAGCACCAGCACCCAGAACACGGAUGAUGGGGAGCCAGGCCUGGAUUCACCGAGCCCCUCUGCCUCUAACUCAUUGUGUAACUUCUAGAUUUCACUUGAGGAACUUCUUGCCUUCCCACCACAGGGACAGGCACUAUUGACUGCCAUAGGGGCAGGAGGGAAUGCUGACAUUGAAUAUGAAGUCGAGGGUGCUGAUGAUCCAUAAUGUCUAAGGCAGUCCCAGGACAGAGAAUUCCUGCUGCUGACUUCAGUGAUGCUGAGCUUGAGAACCAAGAAGGUCCUUGCUACUGCUGUGCCAUCUGUAGCCUCACCCUAGAUAAAUGAACCCUGGGAAUGCGCGUGCGCACAUGCACACACACAUACAUCUUCAAUCUGCAGGAUCGCAAGGCCAUAGGAACGGGUAUAUUUCUGAAGGGUUAGUAGAAUAGGAGGCAGGGAGGGGACACUGUAGUCAUAAGAACAGAAGAUGGCAGAGAAGAAUACAGAGCCACAUCACAGGAGUGUCCUGGGCAAGGGUAGGAGCCUGGUAUGCUGAGGAGUCUGAGGUGCUACAGAGCUCUGCCUGGGAAGAUUAAGCUCCUGCAAUUAGAGUGGAAUUCUGGGAGCACAGGGUGGUAUGGAAAUGAGUGUUGCUGUUAAUGAAUAUUGCAACUUUGUCUCCUUUCCAGGCAUGACAGGACUGCAAAGUCCUAUGCAGGUAAAGCCAGGGCUGGCCUUGCUUUAGUCAUGCGCUAACAAAUGAUCAAGACAGUGAGCAGUCACUGCUGGGUGGAAGUGUUACACGCCAGUGCAUGCCCAUGGCAUUCUGUCCCUUCUGAUACAGGCACCCUGCCUGUGUCUACCCGAACCACAAGAAUGAGUUGAGAUCUUGCCAACCCAUAGCAUACAUAAACAUGAAAUAACCUCUAUUUUAAGAUGCUGUUUGUUUCUCUAAUAGAACCUGGCUGUCCUGAGGAGAUGGAAAUCACGGGUGACCUCAGUGUAGAGAGCGCACAGGGAGGAUGUUACAUUGUAUCCUCUCCCUUAGAAACACUCCUCCCUUUCACUAUCAGGACUGCCCCCCCCCAGUCAGUGUGAAGCUGGAGUAAUCGCACCCCUUCCUCAGGAGGUCCUGUGCCAAGUGGGAACAGGUCCAAGUUUCAGUAGUUAGCUAAAAAUUCACGGGGUAGUUUAGAAACUGAAUUUAAUUUUAGGGUUGCCUUCUAUUUAUAGAAAAAUGAUUAUAGUUUUCCAUUUGUGGGGGUGAUAUAAAAUGUAAAAAAAAUGUAACUAAAGAAAGGGUCAUUCUGAAGACUUAUAUGAAGUCAAUAAAAAACAGGGAGGAGGGGGGGGGCUGCUUACAGCAAAAACUCACAAGGCUGGUUUCCAAAUGACUGACUUGAGGGACAGAGCUCAGAUCUAUUGCAGAAGCAGGAACUUCCUACAAGGACAGCCAGAGAGUCCUGACCAUAGCCAUGAAACAUUAGUAGGGUUUGGGGGGAUUUUCCCGAUGACCUGGUGACAGCUGUAGUUAGUGUCAGAGAGGCACAGAACAGAAUCACGUCUCUGAGCCAUCCCGCGCCUGGAUCUGUGGAAGCCCAAUUUCUGUUUGUCAAAUAAGCGAUCUGUUAGGAGGAGUUGGUAGACUCACAGCCCCCCUAGGGGCCGAGCGGCAAUCAGGAAAUACAGGGUCUGAUCUGUGUCCUGACAAGGGAACAGAGUAGGAGUUACCAGGCUCUGUACAAGUCAGUCAUGUGGGGACUGAGGGAUUAGAGGGGACAUCCUUAGCCAACGAGGAGGUGAGGAGGCCGUGUGUGUGUGUCUGUCUGUCUCUGUCUGUGUUUUCUACACACAUGUGUUGGACAGGCAUUUGGAAAGGACAACAGAAGGCAGACACAUCUGAUCUUUAAGCUGAUCUCCUAAGGUGUGCAGUGUAAAUAACCCCCACCUCCCAUGACAGAGUCCCACUCCUGCACAGUGCAGCUCCCUGUGGAGAUGUUGGGAAGGCAGGGGCUUCUCAGAGCAUGUUAUCGUGGGUAAAAGACAGUAACACCAGAAUACCAAGGCUGAUGGGGUCUAGCCACCAGUGAUGGACUCAAGAGAGGGACGAGGGCACAGCAGCAUGAGAGCCAGGGUCCCUUUUCACCGAGUCUACGGGCAGUGGCUAAGGAAUCUUAUGUCAGAAGACGGCUGGACCAAGGCAUUCCACUGCCCACGCUUUGCUUGUAUGUGACCUGGACUCUCCUCUGAAGCAGAUGCAUCUGUCCCCCCCGCCCUCUUACCUACCUGUGGGCUUCUGAUGACUGCGAUCCGGAAGUUGUGGUGAAGCAAUUCCAUGUCACACGCGAGGCUGCUUGCCACGCUCGGUUCGGCGUCCUCCUCACUUACCACGGCACUGAAGCUUCGAGCCGCAGGCUGCCGUGCUGCGGUGGUGUGAACACGGGUUUUCCCGCCAAAAUUCAUGUGGGAGGUUGAAUGAACUUUCACCUUGACUGUCACUGUGGCGGUACUUGGAGGCGGUGCUUAGGACAGUUAACUAGGCCACGAAAGGUGAUCAAGACCUUUUCUGCAUGAGUGGGAUCUCCCCCCGUGGGAUCAAUGUGGGAGAACACAGUAAAAACCAGGGCAAACCCUUAAGUUUUGUUUCUUCUGUAUGAGCCUCUUGCCCCCCCCCCACUUUCUUAAAUGACUCUGCAUGUGUGUGUGUGUGUGUGUGUGUGUGUGUGUGUGUGACUAUGAUGCACGUUUGCACGUUUACUACUGUGAGCAUGUAUGUGGAGGUUAGAAAUUAGUUCUUUCCUUCACUGUGGGUUCUGAAUGUCAAUCGACUUUGCUCAGCAGACCUUUCACCCUCUCCAUGGCCCGGCUCCGCCACUUCUCAAGAGGUUGAAGCGUUUUCCAUCCUCACUGGCUUCGUGCUCUUGGAAACUGUGAGCCAAACGAGACGAUUUUCUUAUGUGUUGCUUAGUGGUAGAUAUUUUUUAUAGCAGCUGAAGAUAGACCAAGACACGUGUGAAGGACCGAAGACUGCCGACACUCUGUGCUAGUCACGGGAAUGACUGUGGGCAGGUGCUCUGUUCUAAUCCCACAAGGGAGACCCCGCUCUGACAAGAAAUGCCUGGUCGUCAUGUCACCCGGUGUUGACCUCUAAAGGAGUCCUUUCUCUGGCUGACAGGCUUUGAGUCUCCACAGGUAAAGGUCACAGUGGGGAGCCAUCUCUGACUUCCUGAUGCCAAGUGUCACAAAGGACGAGUAAUGGCUGCCCGAAACUGCUACAGAUCUGGGUAGUUUGCUGUGAGUGUAUGACCGAUUAGCAGCCCAGAGCGGCUGGACUGAAGCCAGGAGGGGGUUAAAUUAGAGCCGGAGAGACGAAAGGAUAACAGAAUGCGAGAGCAGGCAAAUUUGUCUCAGCAGAGGCUCUCUCCAGGCCCUCCUCUCAUCCCCAGAAUGUCUGGGCGAAUAGAGAGCAUCAGUGUUCUCAAGGUGUCUGCAGUCUCCAGAACUACAGACAGGCACCUCCUCCUGAGAGCCCCUGCUGUGAUUCCCUCUCCACUCCAAACUGCUUUAGCUUGACUGGCAAAUCCCUUAGGAGCUGGAGGCAAGAGGGAAGGUGCGUGUGAGCAGGAAGGAGACCUGGAUCUCUGGCUUCUGCCACCCACUAAGCUAGCUCUCGGUUUUUGCUAAAACAGAAUCUUGCAUGGCAACCUCAAGAUACCCAUCCCCUCCUGAAUGUUCUGCAAAGGCUACCAGCUGACCCUCUAACUCAGUAGCCCCACGUCUCACCUGGCUGCAGACACGAGCUGAGUGCCAAUUAUGGGUGGAGGUAGUGUUGGCCAAGGUGGUUUUCUGAGCACCAUCCAAAGUCACUUUUGAUUCAGAGCUGCUUGACAAUGGAUGCAAAAGGCCCUGUCUGUGAAAGGAGGGUUUACAGAAGGCAGGGUUUGCCUGCCUAGUCACCCCAGUGGGCAAACCAGCUUAGGCAGUUGUCUCCCAGCUGAGAAGGACUCAUGCUGCAUUCUGAGGCACGGUGCCAACCUCUUUCAGGGGACGAUGAACUUGCCUCUUAAUUCUUUCAAAAAAAGAAAAGACAACUACCGCAUUCUGGGGUCUCACUGUCCUUGAAGCUUUUCCUGAUGUGUCACCCAAGAGAAGCUGGGCACGCUCACUCAUUACUGCCUGGCAGCAGUGACAAAAGGAGGCUAACUUGUACCAUGGACAAGAGGAUCUUUCAAGAACUUCUCAUUGUAAAUCAACUUUGAGAGUGCUUUGCCAACUAGAGCCUUGGGAAAGGCAGUCCAACUCAGCAAUUCCCUUCUCCUAACAGGCUAUUCACAAAUUCCUGAGCCUCUCAGAGCCCAGAAAUAUGCAGCUAAUUCCUUCCACACAGCCUGAAACCCAUCUCAAGGUCUAACGAACUUAUCAAAGUGUGUGAGCUGGUGCCACCUUUCGGGCAUUUGUGGUACUGCAGCCUGGCUCUGUUAUAAGUAAAUGUCCAGACCUAAAGUAAAGCAUCAUAGAGUCAAGAGAUCCAGUGUGGUUUUUUUUAAUCUUUACAUGAACAUUAGGUGUCAUUAUUUCAUGGGGGAGAGGACUGGGGUUCUUAGCGUUGGAGACAUGUGGUCAUGUUGGUCAUGGAGAUGUGUGAGGAGAUGAAGACAACUGAUUUACAGAAAUGUCUUUGAAAAAUUCUCUGUGUAGAAGAAACGGAUCCAGUCCUUAGUCCCUUUAUCUUCCAGGCGAGAUGCUCCAGGAAGAGCACUGCCUGUGCAGAAGGGUGGGGCUUGCAAUGUCUGCGCAGAAGGGUGGGGUUUGCUUGCUGGGAGGUGUGAGCUGUCUUGUUUGCAGACAGCCGGGAUGGUGGGCUCACCCUUCAGAGUGUAGACGGGGCCAGAAAGGAGCUGCAAAGCGUUCAUGCGCUGUGUCAUUCUCAGGAAUACUGAGGCAUUCACACUUCACAGUGGAGAGUAAGGAGAGGCAACGAUAAAGCGGAAGCAGCCACUCGGCGUGCCCACAAGGGGCAGGCGCAUGCGCUGUCCUCAUGAUGCCUCCUGAGAAGGCUGUUCCUUUUGCUUUGGAGUAAAGGAAGUUUAGCGGGCCAGGGUGGUGACUGGACUGAAUUCACACAUCUUAUAGGAGAAAAGGGGUGGGUUUAAACUCAGGCCUUCCUGAGGUCGCUUCUGCGAGGUCCCUACGCUACCCCAUUUCUUCCUUCUUGCCGUCACCGAGAACUCUGAGGUCACAAGAAUAAAGACACUUGUCCUACAGAGCAAUGAGUACUGUGCCGGAGCAAAGGCAACGUGGAGAACAAAUAAUCCUGAGAGAAGCUAAAAACAUGACGUUGGCCGAAGAAGGCUAGUUGUGUAGUGGGUCCUAGGGUUCAGGGAAGACUCUUGCUGGGCAGUGGCCCCAGCUGUUCCUCAUCUGAAUGAAAGAAGAGGAGCUUGGCUGGUGCAGCAGCCUGCAGGUGUCUGUAUGGGAGGAUUUCCUGAUCUUGGAAUGGGUCAAAGACCGAAAAGGGGCUUGCUCGCUGGGAGGUGUGAGCUGUCUUGUUUGCAGUACAAAUGCACACAAACACGGAGUCCAGUUGUCUUGACGUGGGAGCCUUAGAGAGGCCAAUGUCUUUCUUACUAAUGGGACUCACUGGCUGUAGCCCUCAACACUGUGUCUAUGACACAGACACGUGGAGCUGCGAGGGAACGGUGGUGAGACCCCAGACAGUCAGCCCUGACUACAGUGCUGGAGAGAUAAUACCUCCACAUUGUCUUUCACUACUAAAUAGUGACCGAUCUGAACAAGCACAGGGCGCUUGUGUUGGAGUAGCUACUAGGGCCAUGUCACAGGCUCUGCCCCAGGAUGGGCAAAUUGUCUAACUUCUAUGAGGCUCGGUCUCUUGGCCUAGAAACCUGAUCUAACAGUGUGCUUGCCUAACUGUGAAGCCACGACUUCAUCCCCAGGGUCUCAGAGAACCAAACCAACAAAACACUAGGCUAAUCCCAGGGCCCGGAAUCAGUCAGGACUUCUACAGAGAAGGCCUCGCAUCAGCUCGGUGGUUCUCGAAGAUGGCCUGACAUGUUCUUGAUGCUUGAUAGCCCAGGCCCUACUCCCCAAUCUCUAGCGUUCACACAAGUCUAAACAAGCUCCCCUUUCUGAGAGCAAAGGCGUUGGUUUUGAGUUCUUUGAUGAAUCCUGCAAGAUUACUCUAUCAAACUUAGUCAAGGGAACUACUUACAGCUGUAAGGGGUUCGGGGUGGUAGUGAAGCCUCUCCCACCCCAGGCCUGUCAGCCCAGCUGGACCUUCUAGAGCAAGGGUUACUCACUGUCCCCUUGGGCCAAUCUAUCUAGUCAAUGUUGCCUGGUUGCAUUUGGCCCUUCUAGGUCACUUGUCCAUCUAGACACAGAUUCCACAGAGACUCUGGCUUUCAACUUCAAGCCCUCUGCUGACUUCCCGUGGCUUCAGCCAAGUCCCUUAAUCUUCCCAAGCCUCUCUUGCCUCACCCAUGAAGUGGGAUUGAAAGCCUCGGGGCUCUGUGGUAUGCUUGGAAUUGGAUUACGCAAAGCACCUGGCACAGGGCCCCUGUGGGGUGAGUGUUGAGAACCCCGCAGUGUGGAGGGGCUGUUUCCUCACUCCAGGCCCUGGCUGAGCCACGUGAGGGCACAGCUGGCUCCCCACACGCAAAGGUUGCCCCCCUUCUCUCUUUUUUUUUAUUGUAUUUAUUUAUUUUACUUUUCAAGACUGCAAAACUAGUGUACCUUUGAUAGAACCCACAUCGCUUAUGUUUUUGGUUGUGAGCCUAGCCUUUAAUGGCUGAGCCUUCUCUCCAGCUCUAGGACCCAUAUCUCAAACCUGGGCUUUUGAUCUUCCCCUGGGAUCUCCUGGGAUCGCCCCUGUACACUUCUCUGGCGUGGUGCAGGCUGCAGCCAGUCACUGGCUAUCAGGGGAAAAACUCAGUCACAGCCUGCUGGGUGACUCAGCUGAGGUGUGAAGCAGGUACAGCUUCUUCAACUGAGGGAGGUUGUGGUUUCCUGUGGCUUUACAAUACAUCACCUGCCCUUCAUGAGCCCAAGAGACCUAGGCUUUAUCAGACAAUGCCUCCCAUCCCCAAGAUCCUUCUCUAGCUGAGUUUAGAUCAUAUGUAUACCAGUCUAGCCUUGAACUUAGCCGAGAAGGGUCUUGAGCUCUUGAUCCUCUGCCUUCUGAGUGCUGGGGUUACAGUUGUGUAUCCUGCUGCCUGGUUUUAUGUUAGGUCGUAGGUGAGAUCCAGGCAAAGUAAGCAUUCAAGCUACACCCCUGCUCUGUAUCUAUCUCUUCUUGCCUUGGCUUCUGGUGAAAAGUCAAUGAAAUCUCUUACCUCAGUUUCUCUGAAGUAGCCAAUUGGGUAUGGGGGCGUGGCCACGGGCAAAACUUAUUCUGCAGGCCAACACGUGGGAGGCAUUUAGAGGCUUGCUUAGCAAGGCAAGCCAAGGUUUCUUCAACGUCCGUGUUGUUGAUAUUUGAGACAGGUUGCUUACUUGUUCUGGAUGGGGGAUUCCAACAGCACCCCCUCUCCUGUCCAUGUUCCACCCCAGGACGACCCAAAACAAAUCCAGAUAUCUGAACUCGGCAAGUAUGCAUGGGGGCUGGGGGUGGGGAUGGCGAGUCUCUGUGAGUCACUGGAUUCAGCUGUGACAUGGGUGUGUUUUAGGCCCCCAGCCUCCUGUUACCUGUCUACCAGAACGUAGGAGAGAACAGAGUUUCACUCCCAUCGGCCUUUCAACCUGAUUGUAUCAGCAGGUGGCUAAGCAGGAGGCCCACGUCAGCUUCUCCACCACGAGCAAGAAACAGGCAGAGAGAGACAGAGACACAGAAAGGGGUGGGUGAGGGGAGAAACUGAAGCAGGAGCUAGCUAGAAGUGAUGGACUUGAUGAACUGUUCAGAAGAGGUCAUGCUGAAACAGAGGGAAGUGACUGAGAGACUAUCCUGUGCUUAAGAAAUCCCUGGACCAGACAGCCAGCAGGCAAUUAUCAAUGGCAUCUCCAUAUCAAUUGUGGGGGACUUCCCUGCAGGAAGGGCAUAUAAUCCUCAUACAGAAACCACACGUUUUACCUUCUUCAUCUCCUUCCCUGCCAGUCACUCACUACCCACUGUCCUGGAGCAUCCUUUCCUGCCCAGAGGCUCUGCCCAGGUCAUCCACUGCUCACGAGUUGUUCCAGUUAGGUCCAGGGCCCCGCAGCCCAGGCUGGACCCGAGAUGCAUGAAACCAGAACUAAGGCACCAUCUCUACCUCUAGGAGAUGCCAACGGGUGUAAUCAUUGCCUCCUCCGAGGCUGCCUUUGCCUUGGUGCCAGGGCAAGAGCUGUCUGUCUCGCCACCUUUCAGCUCUUGUUAAAACGCAGAAGCCAUGGCCGGGCCUGCAGGGCCACAGACAGAGAGCGCUUUCUUUGCAGCAGCUGGGUGGGGCUCAAGGCUGUUAUUAGCCCCAGCUGGCGUCCCGCUUUUCCUGAGCUGGAAUAAAAAAUUGCCUUGGUCAUCUUUCCCAGGCUAAUUUCAAAAACAUAAUCACCGUCAUCAUAAUUGAUUACUGUUUAUUUUGGUCAUUAAUUGGUAUGCACCCCCUUGUUACACGAGAAUUAAACGGUCCAAGGAUAUUUAGGGCCUGUGAAAGAUGUCUGUGUCUCCCCUCAUUCCACACAGAUCCCUACAGCCCUUGUGCCCCAGGUACCCCCUGGAUUCAACCACACCCAGAGACUGGUGUUCACGGUAAGGUGAACCGGUCAUCGGUGGGAUGAGAAGUUGGGAGAGGCAGGGAAGGAAUUGAAGCUGUCCUAUCUCGGCUGACAAGGGACAAGGGUGUUCCAACCUUCGAACUUGUGCUGAGGGUGAGAGGCAGAGGAAAAGGUUCUGGAAUGGGAAUGCCUUAGUUCACAGCCACCUUCGUCAGCUAGAACAAUUGUACUUCCACAAGAUGCUGCUGUUAGGCAUGAAGCCCCUGGAACGUUCUGGAGGUCACAGCAAUGGAGGCAAAUCAGCAAGCCUUGAAAGCUUGAAUUUUCCAGAGGCUAGGCUUUCAUACCCCCUGCCACCUGCUAUUUCAAGAUGGUGGGAUGGGGUAGAGUGACACAGGCUAAACCAAUCUAGUGCCCCCUCCCUCCAGCUGGCUAGUUUCUCUAUUAGUGGGAAAAGAUCCGCCCCCGGCCACACACACACUCCAAUGAGCCAGUCAGAAUCCUUCUCCAAAAGUUUUGGAGCUGGGACCAGUAAGUUGUCCUGAUGUUUGAAAAAAAAAAAAUCACUUACAGACAGUCCUGACAAUGAACAGGGCAGGUCAGUUUCUGUCAGGUGGGAGGCAGCCAAGGAUAAAGAAAAACCACCUUAGUGUCUUUUGUGACCUUGCUUCUGGUUAGUCUUGAAGCUUGCAUAUGGUCACUGUGCGUGUGUGUGUGUGUGUGUGCAUGUGUGUGCGCGUGUGUACCUGUGUGUGUGUGAGAUCCCUUCUGGCGUCGUGCAGUAUGACCUGACAGCUGGACAGGUGACUCUAUCUGGUAACAUGUCUGUCCUUUCUUUACUGUAUUCAGGAAUACCCCAGUUUCUGCCCCUAGUCCCCCUUUUACCCAAUGCAGCUGAAAUUGAAUUUAUGCCCCUUACUUCAAGUAAAACCUGAGUAGUAUGACAAGAAUAAUUAUCUAUAUCUGAUCUAUAUCUAUAUCUGUAUCUAAUCUAUAUCUAUAUUUAAUCUAUACCUAUACAUAUACCUAUAUCCAUAUUUAUAUCUAAUAUCUCUAUA